CACUGAUGGAACAUUUUGUUAAUGCAGGAGGAGCAGAGGGAACUGAGGGGGAGAAGAAACGUUGCCUUUUAUUUCAUUAGAAAGAAGCUCAAGGUUAUGACAGAAAGCCAAGAAGAAUGAAUACGACUUCCAUAAACACACUGGCCAUCUUAUUGAGGAGGAGGCUUCUAAAAGCAAAUUUGUCAGUGACUGAUGGAGAAAUUAAGGCAAUGGAUACUGAUUUCUAUUAAACUAUGUGGAAGGCUAUCAGCUGGUCUCUCUUCUAAAUAGC